rnacentral:rRNA from 1 species
AUGGGGCAUAUCAUAUCGUAUCCAUCAGAUCGUGUCGUUAAACAAAUGCAUCAUUGUACCAUUACCGAUUCAAUAAUCGGAGAAUCAAGGGUGGCUACCAAAAGCAGCAAUUGUUUUUGUGCAAGAGGGUCUGGUCUUUUGAUAGAUUAUUGGCUUAUUGCAGGGUGGCCUCAACCGAAACGUGAUGGCGUGGGUGAGAGCCAGGAAGCUGCUGUCCGAGGCAAGUGUGAAGAGCACCAGUGUGGAUGCCCGCCCGCACAGCCCCUGACCCUUGACACAAACCUCAUCUCUUCUGUAGUCAAUGUGAGAGUCCAAUCCUCCCUCUCCUUCCUCAUCGCCCUCUUUCCUGACCAGGUCAGGCUUAAUCAUCUGGUUCUCAUGCUAAAGUUUGAUUAG